GACCACGCCAUCAAUCAAGCAAAAAUGGAACCAAAGGUUCGAGCUCCGCAGGCGGCAAGCUCCUUCUUCAUCCACGCCCUCCCUCCGCCUUGAGAACCAUAUAUCUUCAAGGACAAGGGUCCGUUGUGGUGUUUAGAGGCGGAGGCGGUGCCCGGCCAGCAUACACUCUGGUUUCACAGAAUGAGGCACACUUUGCUGGUGACUGGUUCGAAAUUUGAUUUCUACUGGCCAGGAUGUACCCAAUGAACUCAUGGAUCUGGCUAUGAAGGGUUCUUUAAAUGAUGUUGGAAGUGUAGAUGUCUUCUCUUGGAUAAGCUGUUUGGAUCUUCGCAGUCUCGCUGUGCUGACAAAUUCCACCCUGUCCAGCUCAAGUGAUCCACAUAAUAUAUCUUUCCAUUACUUAAUACCUGAAGGAGGCAACGAUAAGUUGUCCUACUUCAAGCUAAAAGUCUUGCUACCUGAUUCAGAUCUCACUGUUACUAGUCAAAAGCAAAUCAAGGACAAGCUAAAUGUUGCCACUCCAGAAGGAAAUUUUCUUUGGUUAUUCCACACAGAAUUGUCACCCUUUCUUAUCGCAAAAUCUCAGUUGUCGAAAAAGAGAUUUUUUAUAUCGCUGCAGAUUCCAUCAUAAAGGGCAAAGUCGAAGAUCUUGGUCGCAUGGAACUAGGCGGUUACGCCAUUGGCGCUAUUGAAGAUUGCAGCAAGCGUCUCAGCGAUUAUAUCAGUAUGGAUGUUCUUAGUGCCAUACAAAGAGCGGGAGCUGCAUUCAGUUGGGUGCCUAAAGAACCUUAUAACGAGGAUGCAUGCCUACUUGAUUUUGACGUGCUAUUGAUGGAGCCUCGCAAGCUGGAGAAAACCCUGAUUACUUCCAUCAUGUGGUGGGCUACUGGAUGUUUGCAGCAAUAGUAAUGGGAAGCUACAAGGAAAUUUGCUCCAGAAAUUUCACAAAAUCAAGAUCUGUCAGAAACUUCAAGCCUUGAACGUGGUCUUCAGCUUCCUGGUCGGCGAGUGGGAACUUGAUCUCACUGUUGUGUAGCUGCUUGCUGUUGUCCCUCUUGCACAGCUUGGUACAUGGAGACAUGGCAUAUCUUUAUCUACUUUAUAUAGAAGGAGCAUGCUUUGCCCUGGUUUCUCACUAUUGAACUUGCAUAUAAGCCCAUUGAUGUAAGGAGAGUGCAACUUGCAUAUAAACUCUUUGAUGAGGUUCUUGAUGAUGUUCUAAUCUACAAAUGUGUUAGAAGAUGGUCGGAUCCUGUGUGACUGGCAAGAUUUACCAUUUAAAAACUAUGCCCCCGGAGAAUGAGGAGAAUUCUAUCCGACUUAUUACACGUUCUGAUGCCACAUUUGAGAAGAGCCAGAACUGAGCACCUACAACCCUUUUAAGUUAAGCAACACAAGUUGAAUUCAUGCUCCCAUGUGGUUUGUUACCAAGAUCUGUUGUAUAUACAUAUGACUUAUCAAUGAUUUUCAUGUUGUUGUAACUAUCCAGUAUCGUACAACUGACCUGUUACCUAGGGGGAAACACUGCAUGACUGUUGUUGGUAUCCUUGUCUGAUAUGAGGCGGAGCGAGCGAUUCUUGCAGGAGGAGAGAGUGAUUCUCCUAGAGGUGGAGGAGGAUGAAGUGGUGAUAGACUUCAAGCCAACUCCAAGUGUCGUGUCGACCUCUGCCUCCGCUCCCUGCACACAUCCCUCCCGGUCGUCUUCAAGGUCCAGACCUCCUCCCCGCUCAAGUUCCUCAUCAGCACGUUGCGUGGUGUCAUGUCGCCGCUUUCCUCAGUGUCCAUACGCGUCGUGCGAGGCAUCCCGCUUCAUCUCUAAUCACCUUUAUGUGCACAUCGUCCAUAUGUGACCCCCUUCUCCAUAUAAUUUCAACAAGUUUUACUCUUUUGGGCUCCGUGUAAGUUCAUUAGUAAAAUCUCUACUAAUUAUUAAUGCUGCAAAGUUAA